AAGUGAUACCUCUGCAACCAGCACCUUCAUGCCAUUCAAGCAUGAUCUCAAUCUCGCCGCAUUCGACAUUGUUAAGUCUAAGGAUCAUGUCUUGCGUAAUCUUAAUUACCAUUGUUCCAAACAAUGCUACUCUCAUCUGAUAAACAGUUGUGCCUUAGAGGUUGAGCCCUCUUGAUAGCACAUCCAUUAGGUAGCCUCAAAAGCUCCAUCCCCAUUUUCAAAGCCUCCAGGUAUGGUUGAAUGUCAAUGUUUGCAUCUCCCAUUUUGUCAUCUCCUGUGAACUUGUCCCAAUCAAACAUUGUCUGAACAAUUUCAAUAAACAACAACAAUAAUGUUAUCCCUAAAACCAGAACAGAACUUUUUUUUUAGUGUUAGUAACAUUGUGAUCUUUGAUAGCAACAGUCAUUUCUUCAUUCCAUACUAGGUUACAAUUUCUUUUCACCACACGUGUCCACACGUGACACGUGUCUUCAAUGUCUGAAGUUUUCGAUAAGAAGGGAGUGAUUUGGCGCCAGGUAAUUGCGAUGUUGAAGCAGUCUUUUUGGGGGCCUACUUCAUCCUUCUAUCUUUAGUUGUCUAGAGUCUCGGGGAAGAUCAUAAGUUCAUAACCAUUGUGAGAUGGUAGAAAAAGGCUUAUGCAUUGUCACUGUGGGCACUCGUGAACUCCCAGCCAUUUAUUGUAACUCAGGUUUUUUAUUGAAUAUAAUUUUACAUUGGUAUAGAAUAAAAAAAGUAAUUACUUUUAAAUCAAUGGGAAAUCUGUAAAUACUUGGAACGUUAUAAGUUAUAACCCUUAAAGUCAAUGAGCUUUCCAAACAAAGUCCAUCUAUCGGGAAAAAAGCCUUUUUCAACCUCUUGCAGGCGGGUUUUUCCAAUCCAAACUAUGACCCCUAGUCGAUUUCAACCCAAACCCAAAAAUAAUUCAAAAUCGAAACCUGAACUAAUGCAAAUGAGCCGAUUUCAACACGACGCGAAACAGUGUUAGUUCGAAAGUUAACGGUUGCUCAACCUUGGGUAAUUCUCUCUCUACAUCAUUCAUCAAACUUUGAAAAUAAAAUCAAAUAACCUUGAGAACUGUUAACUUUUGAACUAACAUUGUUUUGCGUCGUGUUGAAAUCGGCUCAUUUACAUUAGUUUAGGUUUUGAUUUAGAAUUAUUUUUGGGUUUGGGUUGAAAUCGACUGGGAGUCAUAGUUUGGGUUGGAAAAGCCCGCCAGCAAAUAGUUGAGGUUGAAAAAGACCGUUUUCCCGUCCAUCUAUCAUACCAAAGUAACAAAGGUUCCCAUUACCAAUCUUACAAGAAAUGAAAUCAUGAGACAUGAGCCAUCAGUCUUAGCUUUAUAGUUUGCACCAUAUAUAGGAAUCGUGAGUCGUCGUGACUGUCCUCAGCUAGGGGCCUUAGUGAUUUCCUUCCAGAAUGAAAGUCACCGUUCGCAGGCAAUCUAUACCGUAUCUUCAUCUGGUGGACUUUUUCAGUGCCGGCUCAACAUUUUUAUGGGCCCUAGGGCAAAAAAAAAAAAUUGGAUUCUUAGAAAUUUUUUUUAAUGUUUUUUUGCUGUAAAAAAAUUUUAUAUGCUAUUUUUGUUAAAAAUAUUAAUUACUAAUACUAAAAACAAUAAAUAAAAAAUUUUAUAGACCUUUCUAAAUUUUAUUUUUAUGUUAUAAUCUAACUUUUUAAUAUUUUUUAAAAAAUAUUUUAGAAAAUGGACCCUUUAAUUAUUGGACUACGGAAUUGGACCCCUGGCCAUCGCACCGCCCGCCCACCCAUCUGAGCCGGCACUGGACUUUUCGGCAUUCAAGGAACACAUCAUAUGAUUUGUUUAAGGUUAUAUUUAUCUUUUUUUAAAAAAAUUGAUAGGUGACGAGGGCAGUGAUGUAUGCAUUUGUCAACUCUAAUCCUUAUCAUUGCUUCACUAUAUGCACUAGAUUGUAUACCCGCGCAUUGCGCGGGAUUUUACUUUAAAACGUUUAAUUAAUGCGAAUCCUUGAAUAUAAUAUUAUAAAUAGAUUCAUUUGAAUUUUAAUAAAUUUUAUUUUAUUUAUGUGUAUUAUCUUUUCAAAGUAGUAAAAAAUUUCUCACUUUUGACUACAAUUUCUCUCUUUUAUCCUUUGAUGUAUGUAAAAGUUCUUUAUCGAUGACAAAUCUGAGAUAUAGACUCAUUUCUAUUCAAAAACAUUGGAUUUCAACGUCAACUUUUACAAUUUAUCUUGACUGUUUGAAAAAUACAAUUUUUUUUUUUUACAAAUAUAAUUUGACGUAUAUUUUGAUGCUAAAUAGUAUUCUUAAUGUUGAUUUUCCUAAAAUAUGUAACAUACGAACUCCUAAUUCUAAUUUUAAAAUACGUUUUAAAAUAAAAUAUAUUGGAACGAAUUGCACAAUCGUUGCCUCGAUUCUCGAGCUUUUCUCUCCCUUGAAAGCUUUUUUUUCAGAUCUCCGUUUUUACGUUUUGCUUGAUCUUAAUUGUUGCUAUUGAGACUUCUAGUUUAUGGUCCAGGAGUUAGUAAGGACGCUUCUCCGACUGCGGCGGUGUGGAUUUUGCCACCGAUGUAGCCGCUGCUCUGGUUUUAACGGAGGUGGUGAAUCGAGGUCGUGGUUCGCGAUUGAGGACGCCGUGAAGUGCUUCGAGGAUCCCCACGGCUCAACCGUUUUUCCUGUAGUGGAGGCUAUGGCGGAAGUUGGUGGCGAUAUGGUGGGUUUCGCGGUUUUGACGCGGUGGUUAACGGCAGCUCCUCUGGAUUUGCUUGGCUCACGCGGAGUUCGUCUUCAGAGGUUUGGGUGAGCCACCACCCUCUGGAUUCGCCGUGUUUGGUGUUCACCGGUCCGGUCGAGGCGUUCUUGCUUGGUCUAAUCGGAGAGAUCUGGAAGUGGAGGGAAGGGGAUAGAUCUAUGGGUCGGAUUGCUAGGUCGGGAUCUGACUCCGUAGUAGCGGUUGUCGCGGUGGCUAGCUUUUCGGGAGAUAAGUGGCGGAUCUGGUGCGUCGGUGGUGAGAGAACGUGGUUGGAAUUUGGACCCUUCCCGUUGUGUUCUUCGAUCUGUCGAGGCUGCCGUGAAGCUGGGUAUCUUGGGUUCACCGGAUCUAAUGCUCCGGCCACCGUGCAGUCGUCCAUCAGCAGGGUCCGAGCUUUCUGUUUCGUUUCCGACAUCUCUCUUGUUGGGCUAUUUUGUACCUGGGCCAUUGACUUGUAAGGCUUUUUAUGCCAAGCCCUUUCGGGAAGUUAUUAUAAAUUAAUAUAUUUAAAAAAAAAAAAAUAUAUUUCUUAUUAUUUCUAAUUAAAAACUCUUCUAUCUACCAUUAUUAUUAUAGUUCAAAUAGCAUCCUCAAAUAUUAUUAUUACAUAUUUUUAUUAUUUGAUUAGAUUGUUCUAUUUUUAUUUGUGAUGUUUAUAAUAGGUUUUUGUUUUAUUUCAAAUCACCUUAUUAUUUUUUUAAUCUAUGUUAAUUUCCUAAAAUUCCAGUAUAUUUUUUUUUCAGAUAUUCAUUUGUUUUUUUUAGAACCUAAUUUAGAAAAAAUUAGUAAACUAUAAUUAUAAAUAAUAAUAUUUUUUGUUAAUAUUUUAUUUAUUUUUUGUAAAUUAUUAUUUUUAUUUAGUGAAAGAUAAUAAUAAAAAGUGUGUGAAUUGAUUUUAGUUUUAAUGUUUUUUGUUAUAAUAAAUAAGUUAUGUGGAACCUACAAAAAAAAAUUAUCAUGUCAUGAAUGGUGAGGUGGACACCUUAAGAGGAGAGACACCUCUCUAAUUAUAUAUAUAGAUUUUGUCAAACCUAUCCUUAUCAUUGCUUCAUUAUAUGCAUUUUGUCAAACCUAUCCUUAUCAUUAUAACAAAAAAAAAAUAACAUUUUAUGAUAAGAACUUGGAAAACGUGAAUACGACUCAUUCUAAAUAUAUUAGCAGUAGAUAUCGAAUAAGUAUAUAUUAACCUGGCUCACAUAUUUUACGUUUAAACCGUUACACACUCUUUAUAAACGAAGGAAGACCACACGUGAAAAUAGUCAUCAACCAAAGUAAAAAAGCGCACACAGACACAUUUCACUCACGAAGAGAUGGCGACAUCGGGAACAUAUGUGACGGAGGUUCCAUUGAAAGGAUCGGCGGAGAAACACUACAAGCGGUGGAGGGAUGAGAACCACCUCUUCCCCGAUGCCAUCGGCCACCACAUCCAAGGCGUCACCGUCCACGAUGGCGAAUGGGACUCUCAUGAAGCCAUCAAGAUUUGGAACCACAUGCGGUAAAUAUACAUUUACUUUAACAUAACCCAUAAAUGUAUACUUACUUUAAUAGUAUUGUCAGGUUACGAUGAUUAUCUAUUGACGAUAGGAUCGUAUCUACGUCAUACUCCUAGUCAUAUUGUGAUAAAGUUUAUGAGUCAACAUUUUCUUGCUAGGCGCUAGGUCCACCCUCACCGUCCGAUUAGCACCUAGCGAUUUUUUUAACACGGGUCACAUGUAGAUAGAGAAUCCAGAGAGAAUAUUAUUAAAUAGUUGAAUUCUGUUUUUUUACCGGUAAAUGGUAAAUCUUUACCAAAAAAUCAACUAAUUUUCGAAGUCUACAAAAUAUGUGUGCAUGAAUCUCUUUACCUUGAAAUUUAAGUGUAGACUGUGUAGUGUAUACAUAAAUAGAAACACAUACAUGGUGCUAACUUCAUGAAUGAAACACACAUGUACGUAUAUAUAUAUGUGCAGACGGGAAACAGGAAGUGUUCAAGGAAAGGAAAGAGAUAGACGAUGAGAAUAUGGUGAUUACGUUCAGAGGACUAGAAGGUCACGUCAUGGAGCAGCUUAAAGUGUAUGAUAUCAUAUAUCAGUUCAGCCAAAAGUCGCCCGAUGAUAUCGUAUGCAAGAUCACAAUGAUUUGGGAGAAACGAACCGAUGAUUCGCCCGAGCCCAGCAACUCCAUGAAGUUCCUCAAGAGCGUUAUUGUUGACAUGGACGACCACGUUGUCAAAGCCUAAAUCCAUUUCGAACCAUCGUCAUCACCUAUCAUCAUCAUCAUCAUAUAUGGCUCCUCUGUGUGUACAUCAUUUAAAUUAUGAGUAUGGCAACCUCUCCUUUUGUGCAUGGUUAAUUAAUUAUUAAAAUGUUUGUUUGACGUCCAAAAAAAAAUAAUAAUAAUAAUGAAUCCGUCUAAAUUUAACAUAGAAUCGUCGUUUUUCUUUUAAAUUCGAAUAUGAUAUAUAUGGAACCAAAUAUUUUUUAAAAUCAAUAGUUCAAAAAUAUGUUUUCAGCAUAUAAAUGGAUUUUACCAUGUUAAUAAUAAUAAGAAGUAUACUGAUUUUCAAAUGGCAUAGGUUACAAACUUACAAAUAUUAUCACAAUGAAUGUUAUUUUUAAAACCCUCCGUUUAGAUUUUAGAAAGUAAAUUGUGGUCCAACUGAAAUAUCUCAUCCGUGCGUCAACAAAAGAAGAAAAUUAAAAAUCUAAAAACAGAAUUACUCAAAAACAAUUCAAAUGAACAGAUACAAAAGUCUCUAAUUCUCCAAAUGUUUUUCUUGAUCAUGCCAUUGAAAUGGCCAUCAAGAAAACAUACUUAAUUGCUUAUACAGAUCGAAACAACAAAGAAUCAUUCACGACAGAAAAAAAAAUAAAAAAGACCAAAGAAAAUGGCCAUAUAUAAAACAGUCCACUAAGUGAUAAAGUAAAUGAAAAUUUAAAAAUGUUAGCUCAUCUGAAAUAUCUCAUACAUGCGGCGUCAUAAAAGAAAAUGCAAAUUGCAAAGCAUAAAACAACAACAAAACUAGAGAAUCCAAAACCGAAAGCGAAAACUCAAAAAAGAUAUUCAAAUGAACACAUACAAAAGUCUCAAAUAUUAAUCUUGAUCAUGCCAUUGAAAUGAUCAUCAAGGAAAACAUACUUGAGUUGCUUAUACAGAUGGAAACAACAACAGAUUAAUCAUACACAACAACAAAAGAAAGAAAGAAAGAAAGAAAGAACAAUAAUAAGUUCAGGUAGAGGAAGAGCCACCUUUGGUAGAGGAAGAAGUGAUACCUCUACAACCAGCACCUUCAUGCCAUUCAAGCAUGAUCUCAAUCUCGCCGCAUUCGACAUUGUUAAGUCUAAGGAUCAUGUCUUGCGUAAUCUUACCAUUGUUCCAAACAAUGCUACUUUCAUCUGAUAAACAAUUGUGCCUUGAUGGUUGAACCCUUUUGAUAGCACAUCCAUUAGGUAGCCUCAAAAGCUCCAUCCCCAUUUUCAGAGCCUCCAAGUAUGGUUGGAUGUCAAUGUUUGCAUCUCCCAUUUUGUC
rnacentral:lncRNA from 1 species